rnacentral:misc_RNA from 1 species
UCUCGGCUUACGCCGGCAGUCUCCUUAGAGUCCCCAACAUUACUUGCUGGCAACUAAGGAUAAGGGUUGCGCUCGUUACGGGACUUAACCCAACAUCUCACAACACGAGCUGACGACAGCCAUGCAGCACCUGUGUUCCCGUUCCCUUUCGGGCACACCCGGCUUUCACCGGGCUCCAGGACAUGUCAAGGGUAGGUAAGGUUUUUCGCGUUGCAUCGAAUUAAUCCACAUAAUCCACCGCUUGUGCGGGUCCCCGUCAAUUCCUUUGAGUUUUAGCCUUGCGACCGUACUCCCCAGGCGGCAAACUUAACGCGUUAGCUCCGGCACAGACAGACUGAACUGCCUACACCAAGUUUGCAUCGUUUAGGGCGUGGACUAC